rnacentral:rRNA from 1 species
UACGUAGGCAGCAAGCGUUGUUCGGAGUUACUGGGCGUAAAGCGUGCGCAGGCGGUUCGUUAUGUCCGAUGUGAAAGCCCCGAGCUUAACUUGGGAAUGGCAUUGGAAACUGGCGGGCUGGAGUGCGGCAGAGGGGGGUGGAAUUCCACGUGUAGCAGUGAAAUGCGUAGAGAUGUGGAGGAACACCGAUGGCGAAGGCAGCCCCCUGGGCCGACACUGACGCUCAGGCACGAAAGCGUGGGGAGCAAACAGG